ACUUUUUUCUUUUUUAACUCCUUCCAGAUUGAGGAGCUGUUACAAUAAAAUAUUGGGAGUCAAAAUAGAAAUAAUUAGGUCAAAGUCGAGAUAUGUUAAUUCGAAAUAUUUAGUAGAUUUUGAUUUUCAAGUUAAGUGGAGGACAAAUUGUCAUGGAGAGGAGUUGUUAUAAAGGCAAAAUGGUAUUGGAUAGGACCCUGAUGUGGUUAAGAUGAUUUUCAUUCUUUGCUAUCACAGUUAAUUUUUUUGGAUAGCCAUAAUAUUAUCACUUGUAUACA
rnacentral:lncRNA from 1 species